CACAGGGCAGCUGGUGCAACAUCUUCUCCACCUAAUCAGAACCACACACUAGUGCUAGACAGGUGUGCAGGAAUGAAGUGGAGCUACACAGUGCUUUUGAUUUCACACAAGUUGUGAGUCAUUGCGUGGUCAGGACCAGUGAGAACUGGC